GUGCCAGCAGCCGCGGUAAUUCCAGCUCCAAUAGCGUAUAUUAAAGUUGUUGUGGUUAAGAAGCUCGUAGUUGAACCUUGGGCCUGGCUGGCCGGUCCGCCUCACCGCGUGCACUGGUCCGGCCGGGCCUUUCCCUCUGUGGAACCCCAUACCCUUCACUGGGCGUGGCGGGGAAACAGGACAUUUACUUUGAAAAAAUUAGAGUGCUCCAGGCAGGCCUAUGCUCGAAUACAUUAGCAUGGAAUAAUAAAAUAGGACGCGCGGUUCUAUUUUGUUGGUUUAUAGGACCGCCGUAAUGAUUAAUAGGGACAGUCGGGGGCAUCAGUAUUCAACUGUCAGAGGUGAAAUUCUUGGAUCAGUUGAAGACUAACUACUGCGAAAGCAUUUGCCAAGGAUGUUUUCAUUAAUCAGGAACGAAAGUUAGGGGAUCGAAGACGAUCAGAUACCGUCGUAGUCUUAACCAUAAACUAUGCCGACUAGGGAUCGGACGGUGUUAUUCAUGACCCGUUCGGCACCUUACGAGAAAUCAAAGUGCUUGGGCUCCAGGGGGAGUAUGGUCGCAAGGCUGAAACUUAAAGAAAUUGACGGAAGGGCACCACCAGGGGUGGAGCCUGCGGCUUAAUUUGACUCAACACGGGGAAACUCACCAGGUCCAGACACAAUAAGGAUUGACAGAUUGAGAGCUCUUUCUUGAUUUUGUGGGUGGUGUGCAUGGCCGUUCUUAGUUGGUGGGGUGACUUGUCUGCUUAAUUGCGAUAACGAACGAGACCUUAACCUGCUAAAUAGCCCGCAUUGCUUC
rnacentral:rRNA from 1 species